UACGUAAGGUGCAAGCGUUGUCCGGAAUUAUUGGGCGUAAAGAGCUCGUAGGCGGUUCGUCGCGUCGGCUGUGAAAUCCCGAGGCUCAACCUCGGGUCUGCAGUCGAUACGGGCGGACUGGAGUUCGGCAGGGGAGACUGGAAUUCCUGGUGUAGCGGUGAAAUGCGCAGAUAUCAGGAGGAACACCGGUGGCGAAGGCGGGUCUCUGGGCCGAUACUGACGCUGAGGAGCGAAAGCGUGGGGAGCGAACAGG
rnacentral:rRNA from 1 species